rnacentral:rRNA from 1 species
UACGUAGGGGGCAAGCGUUAUCCGGAUUUACUGGGUGUAAAGGGAGCGUAGACGGCGAUGCAAGCCAGAUGUGAAAGCCCGGGGCUCAACCCCGGGACUGCAUUUGGAACUGUGUGGCUGGAGUGUCGGAGAGGCAGGCGGAAUUCCUAGUGUAGCGGUGAAAUGCGUAGAUAUUAGGAGGAACACCAGUGGCGAAGGCGGCCUGCUGGACGAUGACUGACGUUGAGGCUCGAAAGCGUGGGUAGCAAACAGG